rnacentral:rRNA from 1 species
UGCNNUCGAACGAUGAAGCCCAGCUUGCUGGGUGGAUUAGUGGCGAACGGGUGAGUAACACGUGAGUAACCUGCCCUUAACUCUGGGAUAAGCCUGGGAAACURGGUCUAAUACCGGAUAGGAGCGYCYACCGCAUGGUGGGUGUUGGAAAGAUUUAUCGGUUUUGGAUGGACUCGCGGCCUAUCAGCUUGUUGGUGAGGUAAUGGCUCACCAAGGCGACGACGGGUAGCCGGCCUGAGAGGGUGACCGGCCACACUGGGACUGAGACACGGCCCAGACUCCUACGGGAGGCAGCAGUGGGGAAUAUUGCACAAUGGGCGMAAGCCUGAUGCAGCGACGCCGCGUGAGGGAUGACGGCCUUCGGGUUGUAAACCUCUUUCAGUAGGGAAGAAGCGAAAGUGACGGUACCUGCAGAAGAAGCACCGGCUAACUACGUGCCAGCAGCCGCGGUAAUACGUAGGGUGCGAGCGUUAUCCGGAAUUAUUGGGCGUAAAGAGCUCGUAGGCGGUUUGUCGCGUCUGUCGUGAAAGUCCGGGGCUUAACCCCGGAUCUGCGGUGGGUACGGGCAGACUAGAGUGCAGUAGGGGAGACUGGAAUUCCUGGUGUAGCGGUGAAANUGCGUAGAA